rnacentral:rRNA from 1 species
AGUAUAGAAUGUUCUUUUUUAUUUUGCGGUCACACGCAAUCAAUACAACUUUCAACAACGGAUCUCUUGGCUCUCGCAUCGAUGAAGAACGCAGCGAAAUGCGAUACGUAAUGUGAAUUGCAGAAUUCAGUGAAUCAUCGAAUCUUUGAACGCACCUUGCGCCCCNNNGCAUUCCGAGGGGCACACCCGUUUGAGUGUCGUGAAAUCAUCAAAAAACCCUUUUUCUUUGAAAAGGAUUUUUGGACUUGGAGGUUCCAUGCUUGCCUUUGCCUUUGAAGGUGAGCUCCUCUCAAAUAAAUUAGUGGGGUCCGCUUUGCUGAUCCUUAAUGNGAUAAGAUGUUUCUACAUUUUGNAUUUAGCACUGUCCCUUGGAUGCCUGCUCCUAACUGUCUUUUGGACA